GCGAGUGUAGUUCAAUGGUAGAACGAGAGCUUCCCAAGCUCUAUACGAGGGUUCGAUUCCCUUCACUCGCUCCA
rnacentral:tRNA from 28 species